GCCGUCGUCGACCAGUGGAAGGUCAUCCUCGAAAACUGGUUUGUCCUGAUCUUUGUUCAUCCGAGGAAGACGGCGGUUCGAUUCCCCCCGACGGUA